CCGACCGCCGUGGUUUCAGCCAUGUCUGAGGACAAACUUGGGAAUCGCCAAACUGUGUGUGAGCAGUGGCUACAGAGGGAGAGUGAACCUGACGGAGAAAGAGGAAGGGCCGCUAGUGCUGGAGCCCGGCCCCGUGUUCGCCAAGGACGGAGACAAGAACCGGAGCGAGCAGAUCAGCUACAGGAUCCUUCGAGGGAACGAAGGAAAUAUUUUCCAGAUUGAUGAAGACACAGGAAAUAUCACCAUGGCUAAAGCAGCUGAUA